rnacentral:rRNA from 1 species
AAUCAGGAAUCGUCGGCAAUGGGCGAAAGUCUGACCGCGCGACGCCGCGUGUGGGAAGAAGCUCUAACGAGUGUAAACCACUGUGGUAGAGGAAGAAAUCCCGAUUUUCGGGAGUGACGGUACUCUACUAGAAAGAGGUCGCUAACUGCGUGCCAGAAGCGUCGGUAAUACGUGGACCUCGAGCGUUAUCCGGUUUUACUGGGCGUAAAGGGUCGUGUAGGCGGCUUUUUAAGUUAUCUUUGAAAUCACUCUGCUUAACAGAGUAACCGGAGAUAAUACUGAAAAGCUAGAGUUUUCUUGAGGGAGAACGGAACUGAGGAAGGAGCGGUGAAAUGCAAUGAUAUCCUCGGGAACACCAGGGGCGAAGGCGGUUCUCUGUAAGAAAACUGACGCUGAGACACGAAAGCUAGGGGAGCGAACCGGAUUAGAGACCCGGGUAGUCCUAGCUGUAAACGCAUGCCUGCUAGCUGCAUUUUCCCGAUUUAUCGGAAAGGUGUGGCGAAGUUAACACGUUAAGCAGGUCGCCUGGGGACUACGACCGCAAGGUUAAAACUCAAAGGAAUUGGCGGGGAGGUACACAACCAGUGGAACAUGUGGUUUAAUUCGAGACGAACCGAAAAACCUCACCAGGACUUGACAUCUCGCUGCAGACUCCGGGAAACCGGAGAGGCCUUCGAGGGUGCGAGACAGGUGCUGCAUGGCUAUCGUCA